rnacentral:rRNA from 1 species
UACGUAGGGGGGCAAGCGUUGUCCGGAAUCAUUGGGCGUAAAGAGCGCGUAGGCGGUCCGAUAAGUCGGCUGUGAAAAGUCAUGGGCUCAACCCAUGAAAGCCGGCCGAUACUGUCGGACUAGAGUUCGGAAGAGGUUAGUGGAAUUCCCAGUGUAGAGGUGAAAAUUCGUAGAUAUUGGGAAGAACACCAGUGGCGAAGGGCGGCUAACUGGUCCAGCACUGACGCUGAGGUGCGAAAGCGUGGGGAGCAAACAGGG